GAUGAACGCUGGCGGCGUGCUUAACACAUGCAAGUCGAACGGAAAGGCUCCUGCUUGCAGGGGUACUCGAGUGGCGAACGGGUGAGUAACACGUGGGUGAUCUGCCCUGCACUUCGGGAUAAGCCUGGGAAACUGGGUCUAAUACCGGAUAGGACCACAUUUUGGAUGGUGUGGUGGAAAGUUUUUCGGUGUGGGAUGAGCUCGCGGCCUAUCAGCUUGUUGGUGGGGUAAUGGCCUAGCAAGGCGUCGACGGGUAGCCGGCCUGAGAGGGUGUACGGCCACAUUGGGACUGAGAUACGGCCCAGACUCCUACGGGAGGCAGCAGUGGGGAAUAUUGCACAAUGGGCGCAAGCCUGAUGCAGCGACGCCGCGUGGGGGAUGACGGCCUUCGGGUUGUAAACUCCUUUCGCUAGGGACGAAGCGCAAGUGACGGUACCUGGAGAAGAAGCACCGGCUAACUACGUG
rnacentral:rRNA from 1 species